rnacentral:rRNA from 1 species
AGUUUGAUCAUGGCUCAGGAUGAACGCUAGCUGGAGGCUUAAUACAUGCAAGUCGAGCGGGAUUGACCCAGCAAUGGGUCAUGAGAGCGGCGAACGGGUGAGUAACGCGUACACGACCUACCUCUAACUGGGGGAUAGCCCUGGGAAACUGGGAUUAAUACCGCAUAUAAUUCUGAUUUUAAAAGUUCAGAAUGAAAGUUCAGGCGGUUAGAGAUGGGUGUGCGUCUGAUUAGCUUGUUGGUAAGGUAACGGCUUACCAAGGCGAUGAUCAGUAGGGGGCGUGAGAGCGUGGUCCCCCACACGGGUACUGAGACACGGACCCGACUCCUACGGGAGGCAGCAGUAAGGAAUAUUGGACAAUGGCCGCAAGGCUGAUCCAGCCAUCCAGCGUGCAGGAAGAAGGCCCUAUGGGUUGUAAACUGCUUUUGCCAGGGAAGAAACCUUUGGAUUUACACCGAAGCUGACGGUACCUGAAGAAUAAGCACCGGCUAACUACGUGCCAGCAGCCGCGGUAAUACGUAGGGUGCGAGCGUUAAUCGGAAUUACUGGGCGUAAAGCGUGCGUAGGCGGUUCGUUAUGUCUGCUGUGAAAGCCCCGGGCUCAACCUGGGAAUGGCAGUGGAAACUGGCGAGCUGGA